rfam:Picea glauca, whole genome shotgun sequence.
AGCCAUGUGGUCGACAUGGAGCGAACUAUUCUUUCACUUUUUCAUAGAAUGUCGUGUGUUGGCCAUUCACAACGGCAUACACCAAUUUUUGUAGCUUUCAUCUUUUAAAAAU